rnacentral:rRNA from 1 species
UGGGGAAUUUUGGUCAAUGGGGGAAACCCUGAUCCAGCCAUCCCGCGUGUGCGAUGAAGGCCUUCGGGUUGUAAAGCACUUUUGGCAGGAAAGAAACGUCAUGGGUUAAUACCCCGUGAAACUGACGGUACCUGCAGAAUAAGCACCGGCUAACUACGUGCCAGCAGCCGCGGUAAUACGUAGGGUGCAAGCGUUAAUCGGAAUUACUGGGCGUAAAGCGUGCGCAGGCGGUUCGGAAAGAAAGAUGUGAAAUCCCAGAGCUCAACUUUGGAACUGCAUUUUUAACUACCGGGCUAGAGUGUGUCAGAGGGAGGUGGAAUUCCGCGUGUAGCAGUGAAAUGCGUAGAUAUGCGGAGGAACACCGAUGGCGACGGCAGCCUCCUGGGAUAACACUGACGCUCAUGCACGAAAGCGUGGGGAGCAAACAGG